ensembl:lncRNA
AUGGCCUUUACAAGUGACCAAGACUUAAAGGUUUCCGAACAGUGUGAGGAUAAUCCGUAUGGAUUUAAUGGUGUGGUGGUGUAUGAUGAUGGAACCUAUAGCAUGACUCCAGGAUUUAUCCCAGAUAUGACUGGCUACAAUCAAUACUUUACUAGAUGUGGAAACGGCUUUAUUGCUGGAGUCAUUAAUGCAGACCAUCGGAAUAAUGCUCGGGCAUCUCGUCAAAUGCUGUCAGGGAAUGUUGCAGUUACUGUGUCUGCUAUAUCGACCCCAAUGAACACUCGCCACCAACCAGGAGAUCGUCACUUGGACCCGCCUUUUACUGAUGGUGAGACAUUAGACGUAUUGGUAUUUCAGCAAAGUGAUAUAAGAUUUAAGACUACCAAAUGCAAACCUACUGCAGUAUGGCACAUUAUCUAAUGAUGAAACAAAUGCACUGAUUGGUUCUCCUGGUUGCUGCAGGUUACGCAUUUAUGGAUGGGAUAGAGAUGUACAACACGAGGAGGAGGAGAGGAAUUAGCAUCUGAUGGAGAAAAAGAAAAAAGCUGGAAGCAGGAGGAGGAAAAGAUCCCGCCAUUCUGGUCAUUAAAAGCACUAAAGAUUUGACCAGCAUGUUUUUUAACAAAAUAGAGGGGAUAUUUUUGAUUUUAUUUUUUUUUUACAAAAUAAGCUGCUUUUUCAUAAUACUGAACUAUUCCCUUACUGCAGUGUUAACUGCUGUUCACACCAAGAAUGAAAACUACAAUGAUAACUACUAAUUCUAUGAGAAGAGAGAAGAUCAUACCACAACUUCAACAAUAACAACACAGAAUUUCAGUCACACUAUUUCCACCGGAAAUGGUAAACCAUCCGGGGAACCUUUGGGAUACUCAUUUUAACAAAAUACUAUUUGGGACACGUACACUAAUUCUUAUUUAGAAUAAGAUUUAAGACAUAUAGUAUGUAAAUUGAGAUAACAGGAUGCAGCAAGAGUUAUCAUUAUGUCACCUUUUUAUUUGUUCUUGGUGUGAAUAGGCCUUUAGUAGGAAUGGGCAUUUAGUAUAGUGUUUAAAUCGGUACAGUAUCCUCAAUGCAAACUAUUACUGGAUUAAUUUCACAUUGUGUUGUUAACUGAAUUUGAGGAUUAUUCAUUAUUAAUAAAUAUUAACACCAUGGAUGAUUGUCCUUCA